rnacentral:rRNA from 1 species
UGUACACACCGCCCGUCGCUACUACCGAUUGAAUGGCUCAGUGAGGCGUUCGGACUGGCUCAGGGAGGUUGGCAACGACCACCCCGAGCCGGAAAGUUCGUCAAACUCGGUCAUUUAGAGGAAGUAAAAGUCGUAACAAGGUUUCCGUAGGUGAACCUGCGGAAGGAUCAUUA